rnacentral:rRNA from 1 species
AGAACGAACGCUGGCGGCAGGCUUAACACAUGCAAGUCGAACGCGUGUAGCAAUACACGAGUGGCGCACGGGUGAGUAACGCGUGGAUAUCUGCCUUUUGGUUCGGAAUAACUCCGGGAAACUGGAGCUAAUACCGGAUGGUUCCUACGGGAUAAAGAUUUAUCGCCAAAAGAUGAGUCCGCGUACGAUUAGCUAGUUGGUGAGGUAAUGGCUCACCAAGGCGACGAUCGUUAGCUGGUCUGAGAGGACGAUCAGCCACACUGGGACUGAGACACGGCCCAGACUCCUACGGGAGGCAGCAGUGGGGAAUAUUGGACAAUGGGGGCAACCCUGAUCCAGCCAUGCCGCGUGAGUGAUGAAGGCCUUCGGGUUGUAAAGCUCUUUUGGCGGGGACGAUGAUGACGGUACCCGCAGAAUAAGCCCCGGCUAACUUCGUGCCAGCAGCCGC